rnacentral:rRNA from 1 species
UACGGAGGGCGCAAGCGUUGUUCGGAAUCACUGGGCGUAAAGCGCGCGUAGGCGGCUUGGUAAGUCGGGUGUGAAAGCCCGGGGCCUAACCCCGGAACUGCACUCGAAACUGCCUCGCUCGAGUCCCGGAGAGGAUGGUGGAAUUCCCGGUGUAGUGGUGAAAUACGUAGAUAUCGGGAGGAACACCAGCGGCGAAGGCGGCCAUCUGGACGGUGACUGACGCUGAGACGCGAAAGCGUGGGGAGCAAACAGG